rnacentral:rRNA from 1 species
CAGUAGCCGCGGUAAGACGGAGGGUGCUAGCGUUGUUUGGAAUCACUGGGCGUAAAGGGCGCGUAGGCGGCCUGUUAAGUCGGAUGUGAAAGCCCGGGGCUCAACCCCGGAACUGCAUCCGAGACUGGCAGGCUUGAGACCGGGAGAGGAGGGUGGAAUAUCCAGUGUAGAGGUGAAAUUCGUAGAUAUUGGAUGGAACACCGGUGGCGAAAGCGGCUCUCUGGCCCGGAUCUGACGCUGAGGCGCGAAAGCGUGGGGAGCAAACAGGAUUAGAGACCCGCGUAGUCCCUGUCUCUUAUAC